CACCGAAGUCAAGCAUUAUUGGGCGCGGUCAGUACUUGGGUGGGUGACCACCUGGGAACACUGCGUGCCGUU